GUGCCAGCCGCCGCGGUAAGACGUAGGGCGCGAGCGUUGUCCGGAAUUAUUGGGCGUAAAGAGCUCGUAGGCGGCUUGUCGCGUCGACUGUGAAAACCCGUGGCUCAACCAUGCGGUCUGCAGUCGAUACGGGCAGGCUAGAAUUCGGUAGGGGAGACUGGAAUUCCUGGUGUAGCGGUGAAAUGCGCAGAUAUCAGGAGGAACACCGGUGGCGAAGGCGGGUCUCUGGGCCGAUAUUGACGCUGAGGAGCGAAAGCGUGGGGAGCGAACAGGAUUAGAUACCCGAGUAGUCC
rnacentral:rRNA from 1 species